UCAUUCACACUACAAAAAGUCAUAGGUCAGUCUUGAAAGAGGCAGCAGUUCAACUGUCGUUUCAAGCAAAAUUUAGGAAUGAUAGAAAAUGAUUUGGAUUUCUGCUUCAGUUCUGGAGGCCAUCCAAGACUAGCUUCAAAACGUAAUCAACACAACUACAAUGCAUUGGUCUACUAGGAAUAUAGCAUGAUUUCUUUGCAGUACAUCAUCAGCAGAAAAAAGUAUAGUAGCAGUCUGUCGGCCACUUUAUGUCAGUCAUUCAGAAUAAUACUUCCGGCCGGAAUAGUCUCUAAAUUAGUACGUGUGUAAACUAUUCUCAUUCACCGACGCGGAUGGCUGUCUACAUAGCGGACAGAUGGCCGUCUAUACACAGCGUUUAACUUACGAAGAACAGAUGAAUGACCGAACAGUAGCAGCCAACUUCGGAAGAAAACAUUCACAGUUAGACAUUCGAACUACUCCGUUUAUCUAGCAGAAGAAGAUGUUCAUUGCACAUCGAAUAAACAGUUUAAAAACUGCACAACGGUGGACGACCUAAAAAAAUUCUACCGACAGCUGUAUUACUGACAAAAUGUUUACUCAACAGAGACGACGUACAAAUAGCGGCUGGAAGACUAGUGCAAGUCGCAGAAGAAGCAAAGUCUCCGAACUAAACAGACAAGUUAUUCGCCAUGCAUCUCUUAAGUGGAAGCUUAUUUGGGUUCGACUGCUUUUGUCACGAGCGUGACUACCGUGACUGUAACAUCUACAAGCCAAAAUCUUUGUGGAAGAUUAGUCAACGUCACCGGCGCUUGUCGUCGUCGCCGCAAUUUCAAAUUUGAAAAACCCGAAAUUCAAUUAUUUGGCGGAGAUUAUGACGAGACCAUCGAAUUGGCUUUCCCGAAUGCAUACUAUCGCAAUCAAUUUGUUCCUACAAAGACCCUCAGUAUGGAAGUGACACCACUGGUCGUGUUACCUCAACCCAUUCCAUCCGGACGAAAUCCAUCGAUAGUCAGCCACCACCCUGGACUCCAUUCUUCUCAUCCCAUGUACUCCUUUAUUGGCAGCCGAAACAAGAGCCCUUACCUUCACCCAAGUCUCUACCAAGACCAAUUGAAACUCCAACAACAGCAAGAAUUUCAAGAACAACAGCAUCGCAUCUUUUUCUCCGCCCUAUCCCUCGCCAAUUUGUUCGGCAGAACCACCGUGACCUACACGACAUUUAGAACCGAAACAAAGACCGAGGUCAAGUCCGGCACUGGCAGUUUUAUCGUCGUGAGUUGCACGCCGAGCCCCUUCCCAUUUAGUGUGUGCAAUGCAAAAGCUCCACUACCGAUAACCAUAACCCCAGUUGGAUAGAUUUGCUUUGAAUUAAAAAUAAUGAUUUGGCAAUUGUUACAUUAUUAAUGCUAGUAGUUUAUUACAAAAGAUUAUUUAAAUGCAUAUUUAUGAAGCCGUGUUAUCUUCAAUACUCUCAAAUAUAAUUGCAUGACAUCAA